rnacentral:rRNA from 1 species
AUUAAACGCUGGCGGCAUGCCUUACACAUGCAAGUCGAACGGCAGCACGGGGGCAACCCUGGUGGCGAGUGGCGAACGGGUGAGUAAAGCAUCGGAACGUGCCCUAGAGUGGGGGGAUAACGUAGCGAAAGUUACGCUAAUACCGCAUAUUCUGUGAGCAGGAAAGCAGGGGAUCGCAAGACCUUGCGCUCUGGGAGCGGCCGAUGUCGGAUUAGCUAGUUGGUGGGGUAAAGGCCUACCAAGGCGACGAUCCGUAGCGGGUCUGAGAGGAUGAUCCGCCACACUGGGACUGAGACACGGCCCAGACUCCUACGGGAGGCAGCAGUGGGGAAUUUUGGGACAAUGGGCGAAAGCCUGAUCCAGCCAUGCCGCGUGAGUGAAGAAGGCCUCGGUUGUAAG